AAUCAACGCUGGCGGCGUGCCUAACACAUGCAAGUCGAACGCGACUUGGGCUUCGGUCCAAGUUGAGUGGCGAACGGGUGAGUAACACGUGGGUGACCUACCUUCGAGUGGGGGAUAACGUCCCGAAAGGGACGCUAAUACCGCAUAACAUCCUGCCUUUGAACAGGUGGAGAUCAAAGCCGGGGAUCGCAAGACCUGGCGCUUGAUGAGGGGCCCGCGCCUGAUUAGCUAGUUGGUGGGGUAAUGGCUCACCAAGGCGACGAUCAGUAUCCGGCCUGAGAGGGCGGACGGACACACUGGGACUGAGACACGGCCCAGACUCCUACGGGAGGCAGCAGUGGGGAAUUGUUCGCAAUGGGCGCAAGCCUGACGACGCAACGCCGCGUGGAGGAUGAAGGUCUUCGGAUUGUAAACUCCCGUUGCUCGGGACGAAAAGCUUCGACCAAACACGUCGAAGUCUGACGGUACCGAGUGAGGAAGCCCCGGCUAACUCUGUGC
rnacentral:rRNA from 1 species